rnacentral:rRNA from 1 species
AAUUGUUCGCAAUGGGCGCAAGCCUGACGACGCAACGCCGCGUGGAGGAUGAAGAUCUUCGGGUCGUAAACUCCUGUCGAGCGGGACGAAUGCCUUGCCGGUGAAUAUCCGGCGAGGGUUACGGUACCGCUCAAGGAAGCCCCGGCUAACUCCGUGCCAGCAGCCGCGGUAAUACGGGGGGGGCAAGCGUUGUUCGGAAUUACUGGGCGUAAAGGGCGCGUAGGCGGUUUCGCAUGUCCGAUGUGAAAGCCCACCUCUUAAAGGUGGAAUUGCAUCGGAAACUGCGAGACUAGAGUGCCGGAGAGGGUGGUGGAAUUCCUGGUGUAGAGGUGAAAUUCGUAGAUAUCAGGAGGAACACCGGUGGCGAAGGCGGCCACCUGGACGGUUACUGACGCUGAGGCGCGAAAGCGUGGGGAGCAAAC